AUUUGUGAAUUAACUACUCAUAUUUUACUACUAAAUAUCAUGAUUUUAGGUUUCCAACGAAUAUUUUAAUAGGAGAUAAAUAGAAUAGGUAGAUGCUGUACAACUGAGCCGAAAUGAACUAUAACGACAGCCAUCCUCAUCUAAUGUGGACCUACCGUAUGAGUCUAAAAUCAGUCGAUAACCAAGAUUCAAUCUUUGAUACACCUA